rnacentral:rRNA from 1 species
GAUGAACGCUAGCUACAGGCUUAACACAUGCAAGUCGAGGGGUAACGAGAGGAAAGCUUGCUUUCCUUGUCGACGACCGGCGCACGGGUGAGUAACGCGUAUCCAACCUGCCCCCAACUAGGGAAUAACCUUGCGAAAGUAAGACUAAUACCCUAUAAUUUCCUCAGAUGCCAUCUGACGAGGAAUAAAGAUUUAUCGGUUGUGGAUGGGGAUGCGUCUGAUUAGCUUGUUGGCGGGGUAACGGCCCACCAAGGCAACGAUCAGUAGGGGUUCUGGGAGGAAGGUCCCCCACAGUGGAACAGAGAACAGGUCCAAACUCUUACGGGAGGCAGCAGUGAGGAAUAUUGGUCAAUGGGCUGAAGCCUGAACCAGCCAAGUAGCGUGCAGGAUGACGGCCCUAUGGGUUGUAAACUGCUUUUAUACAGGAAUAAAGUUAGCCACGUGUGGUUAUUUGUAGGUACUGUAUGAAUAAGGACCGGCUAAUUCCGUGCCAGCCGCCGCCGUAA